rnacentral:rRNA from 1 species
UGGAAAUGAUGUGUGCUAGUGUUAUGGGGUUUCCAGCGCCCUGUAGUGCUGCAGCUAACGCAUUAAGCACUCCGCCUGGGGAGUACGGUCGCAAGACUGAAACUCAAAGGAAUUGACGGGGGCCCGCACAAGCGGGGGAGCAUGUGGUUUAAUUCGAAGCAACGCGAAAAACCUUACCAGGUCUUGACAUCCUCUGACAACCCUAAAGAUAGGGCUUUCCCUUCGGGGACAGAGUGACAGGUGGUGCAUGGUUGUCGUCAGCUCGUGUCGUGAGAUGUUGGGUUAAGUCCCGCAACGAGCGCAACCCUUGAUCUUAGUUGCCAGCAUUCAGUUGGGCACUCUAAGGUGACUGCCGGUGACAAACCGGAGGAAGGUGGGGAUGACGUCAAAUCAUCAUGCCCCUUAUGACCUGGGCUACACACGUGCUACAAUGGACAGAACAAAGGGCUGCAAGACCGCAAGGUUUAGCCAAUCCCAUAAAUCUGUUCUCAGUUCGGAUCGCAGUCUGCAACUCGACUGCGUGAAGCUGGAAUCGCUAGUAAUCGCGGAUCAGCAUGCCGCGGUGAAUACGUUCCCGGGCCUUGUACACACCGCCCGUCACACCACGAGAGUUUGUAACACCCGAAGUCGGUGAGGUAACCUUUAUGGAGCCAGCCGCCGAAGGUGGGGCAGAUGAUUGGGGUGAAGUCGUAACAAGGUAACCGCA